rnacentral:sRNA from 1 species
GAGGCAGCCCUGGGGACUUAAGUUGUUUAUUUAACCACAGAACACGUACAACUUGGGUAGCAGUAGUGCAGGCUUCCCCACGGCUGCUUCACCACUGUUCUCUAACCUGGACUUAGACUGACGAUCUCUAGAGGUGAGAAGCUAGCCAAUUCCUUCUCCCUCUCCACCCAAAUGCUGGCCUCG